rnacentral:tRNA from 1 species
GCGUUCUUGGUGUAGUGGUCAGCACGCUCGACGCGUAACCGAGAGGUCCAUGGUUCGAUUCCCGGCGAAGGCG